GGAUAUGGUGGUUGGCAGGUUGAUCCCUCAGGUGAGUUUAUCGUUCGAAGUGGUUACAAAUUAUUACAAGGAAAUAAGGAUUUAAAUAAAAAUACAGUGGAAUGUUACAAUCUUUUUUACAAGAAGCUAUGGAAAUUGGAAUUUCCAGAAAAGGUUAAAAUCAUAGUCUACCAUAUUUUCAAGAACCUAAUAUCUAAUUUACACAAUCUGUAUAACAGUUGUUUGGUGGGAUCUGUUGUUUGCCCAAAGUGCGCAAGGGGAUGUAGAAUCUAGAACAUGGAUUUCGAGAUUGUCCUUUUGUUGUUGUUGUUUGGGACUUGUUGAACAUUAAAUAAAAUAAUGAGGAAUGAAGGAAAAUGUAAUACCCUUAACUCGUAUCCAUUGCUGAAAGAGAGUUACGGAGUAUUAUCGAAAUUUACAGAACAAUUACACAUAAUUCUUGUCAUUUAUUAUUUAUAAUCAAGACUAAUCAUGUUAUCCCUUAAAUGAACUCUCGAGGCCCAAUUUAAGUAUUAUAAGCAAGUCGGGACUAAAUCGAGAAUUCAGAAAAUUUUUCGCAAAAUUUUAAAACUUUUCCUAGGUAUAGAGGUCACAUGCUCGUGUGGCCAAAGGAUAUGCCCGCGUGGUCCUAUGACAUGCCCGUGCUUCAGGCCGUAUUUUACCCGAUGUAACUCCCUGACUUAGGUCACACGAUCAACCACAUGCCCGUGUGCUAGACCGUGUUGCCAAUUUAUUUUCCUAAAAUUAAGUCCAAUUUUCACACGGCAAAGUCACACACCAGUGUGCUAUGCCAUGUGCCCCACACGGUUGAGACACACGCCCGUGUCUCUGAUCGUGUGCUCAAUUCUGAGCGUUCUAUUUCUAAAUUUUAAGAUGCAAGGGACACAUGGCUAGACUACACGCCAAUGUGCUUGGCCGUGUGUCGUACACGGCUGAGACACACUCUUAUGUCUCUGCCUGUGUGGACGAAAAUAGGUCAUUUAAAGGAUACUUUUCUCACUCUUUUCACAAUCAACCUGCAUACAACACUGUAUACAACACUCUCGUAUACCAAUAUAAACCAAUCAAGUAACUAAUACAAAUCAAAAAUAAAGUUUUAGACCUAAUAUAUCAUCACACAACUCAUUUGCAUAAACUUACCACAUUAACUCCAUUAAUUGAUUAUUAUAAGCUAUUACUAAGUACAGGCAUACAAACAUACAUAUAUGUAUAUGUACUACUCUCAACCAUAUUACAAGUUUAUUUCUUCUUAAUUAAACCCUAUAAAUGCCAUAUAAACCUUAAGUUGCAUAACAAAAUCUACCGGAGUUAUAUGGAUAGUAUGAACCGAUGUAUUGAUUUGAUCCUCCAAACUUCUUCAAAAUCUACAAAGAAUAUUGAAAAAUUAAAGUAAGCUUAAUGAAGCUUAGUAAGUUCGUUGGCUUUAAACAUAAAUCUUACCAAACAUACUAUAACAAUUCAUUUAAGUAAAUCAUUCAAUAUACUAUUCCUGCUAACCACAACUUCAAUCAAUGAAUUCACUUAUUUCAAAUCGAUAUCAAAAUAACUUUAAAUCUUCAAACAUUAAUUUCAUAUAUCACUUACCAACCUUGUCAAAUCAGAGAACAUCUUACGAAUAUGAGUACAUCGUAUACAGAAGCCUGAAGGCUGCACAAAAGCACAUAAGUGCUAAACGGAAACCCGUAAGGGUUAAACUGAAACUCGAAAGAGUUAAACGGAAACCCAAUAAGGUUAAAUUGAAACUCAUACGAGUUUACUGAAGCUCAUGUGAGCUAAACGGAAAGCAAACACAGAAGUUCGCAACAAAUGCUGAACCUCGGUUUACUUGGGUAGUUUACCGUCAAUUCUUUUUUUACACUGAACGAAUAUAUUCAAUCCUGCGUUUUGAUCGCUUUGUACUUUCACUUUAAUAUACAUAGUUUAACAAUAAUUUUAUUUUUCAACAAUAAAUAUAAAUAUCAAUCGUCAAUUAAAUAAAUAACAUUAAAAUUUAACUAUAUGAACUUACCUGGACUAAUUUGUAAAAUUCGUUGUAGCUCAGGAACUAUUCGAAUAAUUUCUCUUUUCCUCGAUUUUCUUUGGAAUCUUAAUCUAUAAUAUAAAAUUAUUAAUUCAUUAGCACAUAUAUUUCAGCCUCAUUCCACUUCACAAUUUAUACCUUUUAAUUUUUAAAAUUGCACAUGUACCCUAAAAUUUUAUAGUUUUUACACUUUAGUCGCUAAUCAAUUAACCCAUCAAUUGAACUAAUUUUUCUCAAUUAACAAUUUAUUCCAUCAUUCUAAACUACUACACAACCUUUGAUAUUCAAAAUUUCAGCACCAAACCCUAAUUCUUAACUUUUUCACAAUUAGGUCCUAAAAUUAAUUUCUAUCAAAAUCACUUAAUAAAAUCAUCAUAUAAUAAAAUUAGAGUUUCAAAUACAUGUUAAUUCAUCAUAAAAUUUUAGAACUUAUCUAUGGAAACUUUCAAAAUCAUUCAUAGAAUCAAAAACUAAUAAAUUCAAUAGUUGGACCUAGUUGUAAAAGUAUCAAAAUCACAAAAUUCACAAGAAAUAAUCAAAAAUUGAACUUAAUUGUAAUAAGAAUAUGAAAAACCAACUUAGAAAGUCUCUUUAAUGGCUGUUUUUAGCUGAGAAUUUUGAAGAAAUCUCUAGAUUUUCAUUUACAUCCUUUUUAACUAUUAAAUUUUGUCAUUUUCCAAUUUUACCCCUCUUAACACUAGGUUUGUUAUUUCUUAUGCACACAUGUCGUCCAAGCCAUUGCCUAUGUAUCUAAUUGCCUAUUUGGUCCUCCCUUAAUUACUUCUUAAGUUAUUUAAUCCCUAUUUCUUUAAUUAGUAAGUUUUGCACCUUUUUCACUUUAGUUCUUUUUAAUUAAUUAACGAUCAAAACGCUAAAAUUUUUUAACGAAACUUUAAUACUAAUUCACUAACACUCUAUAAAUAUUUAUAAAAAUAUUUAUGAUUCAGUUUAUAAAUUCGAGGUCUCGAUACCUCGUUUUCACCUCAAUUUAUCUAAUAAAUUUUUUUAAUUCACAAAAUUUACUAUUUUUAAAAAUAUUUCUAAAAUCACAUUUCACUCGUAAAUAUUAAUUUAUUAAAUUUCAAACUUACUCAUCGAAUUUAAUAAUCUCGAAUCACUGUAUUUGACACUACUGAAAAUUAGCCUGUUACUUGAAAAAUUUUCAAAAUUAACUAUUUGGACUGUUUUUUAACUUGUCGGAAUAUACCUGUAGGCAGAUUGCAUGUACGAUUUGGAUCCUUUAGUUAUAGCGGAACAAAUGGGUGCAUGACAGAGUGUUUGCCUCGUCACAACAUAUUGUAAGUAUGAUUUCGUCCUAUGUGGCUGAACUAAAUAAAAUCGUGAAGAAAUUACCUGUUGUGAAAGUGGGUUUUGAGAUGUGGAGACCACCGGAUGAACCUUUUGUCAAGAUAAAUUUUGACGUCGCGUUUCAUGUCUUUUCUUCAAAUUCCUAUUCAGGGAUAAUCAUUAAAGAUGGUAGAUCUAAAACUAUCGCUGAAAAGGUAAUUGUAAAUGGAAAUAUAGUGUCGGUUUUUGCAGCUGAGGCCCUUGCAUGCCUUCAAGCACUCAGCCUGGGGGUGGAUCUCGGUUUCUAAAGGUGGUGGUGGAAGGGGAUUCUCUCUCUGUGAUAAAGAAAGCGAACUCGAGUGGUGAUGAUAGAUCGACCAUCGGGGCUUAUAUUCAAGACAUUAGAAUUGUCAGACAAGGAUUGAAAAAGUGUGAGAUUGUUUAUGCCCCCCAUGAAGCGAAUAGACCGGUUCAUUUCCUAGCACAAGAGGGAUGGCGAAGGGGAGAGGGUCUAAAUCUAGAGUAUGAUUACCUGGUAGAGAUGGUGGCUCUGAAUUGUGGUGGGGAUGGUGAAGAUGAUGCGGGUGGUGCGAUGGCUUCUGGAUAACCAAAGGCUUUUCCUCAAACUUUUUUGGUGAAGGGGAUUUUUUGAGGGUGAGAAGUACGAUUUUUGAGUGGAGAUUAAAUAAGAUUUUGGUUUCCAAUAUCUUUUGAGAACCUGCCCUUGUUGUUGGAAGUCACCCAUGGUCUACACGUGUAUUUCACAAGUGGGAGUGGCUCUUCUAACUAGGCUGGAAUUUGUUUGCUUUGUUUGUUUCUCAUUUCUUUUAUUUUUUAUUUUAUUUUAUUUAUUUUGAUAGGUUUGGGUGUUUCUGUACUUGUUUUUAACUUAUUUUGUUUAAUAAAUUCUCCGGCCGGAUUUUAUUCAAAAA
rnacentral:lncRNA from 1 species